AUUGCAUAUUGCUCUUCACGAGGAAUGCCUAGUAGGCACGAGUCAUCAGCUCGUGCCGAUUACGUCCCUGCCCUUUGUACACACCGCCCGUCGCUACUACCGAUUGAAUGGCUCAGUGAGGCCUUCGGACUGGCUCAGGAGGGUUGGCAACGACCCCCCAGAGCCGGAAAGUUGGUCAAACUCGGUCAUUUAGAGGAAGUAAAAGUCGUAACAAGGUUUCCGUAGGUGAACCUGCGGAAGGAUCAUUACCGAGUGAGGGCCCUCUGGGUCCAACCUCCCACCCGUGUUUAUCGUACCUUGUUGCUUCGGCGGGCCCGCCGCAAGGCCGCCGGGGGGCUUCCGUCCCCGGGUCCGCGCCCGCCGAAGACACCUGUGAACGCUGUCUGAAGAUUGCAGUCUGAGCGAAAAGCUAAAAUGUAUUAAAACUUUCAACAACGGAUCUCUUGGUUCCGGCAUCGAUGAAGAACGCAGCGAAAUGCGAUAAGUAAUGUGAAUUGCAGAAUUCAGUGAAUCAUCGAGUCUUUGAACGCACAUUGCGCCCCCUGGUAUUCCGGGGGGCAUGCCUGUCCGAGCGUCAUUGCUGCCCUCAAGCACGGCUUGUGUGUUGGGCCUCUCGUCCCUCCCGGGACGGGCCCGAAAGGCAGCGGCGGCACCGCGUCCGGUCCUCGAGCGUAUGGGGCUUCGUCACCCGCUCCGUAGGCCCGGCCGGCGCCUGCCGGCACCAUCAAUCUUGUUUUUCCAGGUUGACCUCGGAUCAGGUAGGGAUACCGCUGAACUUAAGCAUAUCAAUAAGCGGAGGAAAAGAAACCAACAGGGAUUGCCUCAGUAACGGCGAGUGAAGCGGCAAGAGCUCAAAUUUGAAAGCUGGCUCCUUCGGGGUCCGCAUUGUAAUUUGCAGAGGAUGCUUCGGGAGCGGCCCCCAUCUAAGUGCCCUGGAACGGGCCGUCAUAGAGGGUGAGAAUCCCGUAUGGGAUGGGGUGCCCGCGACCAUGUGAAGCUCCUUCGACGAGUCGAGUUGU
rnacentral:rRNA from 1 species